CCAUACCAACCGGGGAGUUAGCGGUGCCCUGUACCUGCAAUCCGCUACAGCAGGGGUGGAUUCCUUUUUUGAGGAUUGGAUCUGUACGGCUGUGCCGUAUGUUUCUGCGUUGAAGAAUGGGUCUUGCGCAAUUGAUGGCUGUGAACCAUGUCAGGCGGGGAACCGAGCAGCAUUAAGCAGUAUGUUCGAUGUGCCGCAAGGACGCCUGUUCCGAGUGGAAUGUACGGUUAACGCGUAUAUGUCCAUAUUCGAUCUUCAGGUGUAUGG
rnacentral:SRP_RNA from 1 species